AGUGAACGCUGGCGGUAGGCCUAACACAUGCAAGUCGAACGGCAGCACAGUAAGAGCUUGCUCUUACGGGUGGCGAGUGGCGGACGGGUGAGGAAUACAUCGGAAUCUACUUUUUCGUGGGGGAUAACGUAGGGAAACUUACGCUAAUACCGCAUACGACCUACGGGUGAAAGCAGGGGAUCUUCGGACCUUGCGCGAUUGAAUGAGCCGAUGUCGGAUUAGCUAGUUGGCGGGGUAAAGGCCCACCAAGGCGGCGAUCCGUAGCUGGUUUGAGAGGAUGAUAGGCCAACCUGAAACUGAAACCGGGCCCAGGUACCAAGGGAGGGCACCAGGGGGAAUGAUUGGCAAUUGGGGGAAACCUUGUACAAGCAAAGCGGGUUGGGUGAAGAAGCCCUUCGGGUGUAAAACCCUUUUGUUGGGAAAGAAAAGCAGCAGGUUAAUACCCCGCUGUUCUGACGGUACCCAAAGAAUAAGCACCGGCUAACUUCGUG
rnacentral:rRNA from 1 species